rnacentral:miRNA from 1 species
GACAAUGAUGAGUGUGUGUAUAC